rnacentral:rRNA from 1 species
AUGCACGCUGGCGGCGUGCCUAAUACAUGCAGGUCGAGCGAACAGACGAGGAGCUUGCUCCUCUGACGUUAGCGGCGGACGGGUGAGUAACACGUGGAUAACCUACCUAUAAGACUGGGAUAACUUCGGGAAACCGGAGCUAAUACCGGAUAAUAUAUUGAACCGCAUGGUUCAAUAGUGAAAGACGGUUUUGCUGUCACUUAUAGAUGGAUCCGCGCCGCAUUAGCUAGUUGGUAAGGUAACGGCUUACCAAGGCAACGAUGCGUAGCCGACCUGAGAGGGUGAUCGGCCACACUGGAACUGAGACACGGUCCAGACUCCUACGGGAGGCAGCAGUAGGGAAUCUUCCGCAAUGGGCGAAAGCCUGACGGAGCAACGCCGCGUGAGUGAUGAAGGUCUUCGGAUCGUAAAACUCUGUUAUUAGGGAAGAACAAAUGUGUAAGUAACUAUGCACGUCUUGACGGUACCUAAUCAGAAGGCCACGGCUAACUACGUG